UAUAUAUAUAUAUAUAUAUAUAUAUAUAUAUAUAUAUAUAGGAAAAUAGGUUAGUACUCCUGGGAGUACAUACUCCUAGCCCACGUGUCCUCCUUUCAUUCGGUGCCAAUGCCUAUUGGGUUUCCGCAACAACACCGCUUAGCGCUCACCGUUUGUUUGUUUUUUUAAGCGGUCGCUCAGCGCUCAGGUAGGAGUAUAUGAAGAAGUUCCCAUGCAGUUUGAAAAGUUGUUACGGAUUAUUAGGAACAAGGCACGUCUAGAUUGGAAUUUUGUUGGAUCUUCAAAACAAUACUCACGCUACAUGCAUAUCUACCAAACAAAGGCCGCGUGAAGCUUAGCUGAUGCGUUUCGGCUGCACGGCGGCGGCCGGCGGCAACCGAUGAGAUUCAAUACCUUUUACUUUCUAUGAUAUACAUUUUUUUACUGAUGCAGCGACGCUCUUGAUCGCCGACAGUCGAUAGCACUCAGAGAACUGGGACGACUGAAUCGGCCCAUCUCAUUGGAGAACACGUGCUCACCCAUGCACGCAUCACCCAUUCCAUGCAUGCAUGUGUGAGUAGCAAUCAUCUGAUUAUCCUCAAUUUCAGAUCCAGUGUAGAUGAGAUGCGAGCGCUGGCAGUCGGACAUUGUCGUCACGCAACGGCGCGGCCGACGGCAACAUGGCAAACUGUGACUUCGACGACGAAAAUGGGAAGCGGCCAUCGUCAGCUGGACGUCCGAGGACACCCUCACGUACUGCCACAAGUGACAGGCGGCGGCUUGACGGCAGCAAUGUGUAUCCAUACUACCAUCGAUGCAUUGCACUCCUAUAGGAAAUUAUAUGUACGGGUAGCAGACUAUCUUUUGUUAUUGGAACUAUGUUUGAUGGAUACAAAUGUUCGGUUUUUUGAACGUAUACUUUCUGGAUAUACUCCGCUUCUCAAGAUUGUAUAUUUAUUUGUUGUUAGUAUAUUUCCCGUAGUACUAACUCUGAAAAUUGUAUACUACUCCGAAUAUUUGAAGACCAUUUCCAUGUACAAAACAUCAUUUUCUCAAUGGAGUGAGAGUAUAUAAUCAGUAUGUACCUAAAUAAUAUACGUCUUACCUGGCA